GGGGCUAUAGCUCAGCGGUGGGGCGCCUCGUCUAAUGACCGAGAGUGUCUACGGUUCGAAUCCGUAUAGUCCUA
rnacentral:tRNA from 1 species